AACAAAAACAAUUUCACGAAAAUGGCAACUAUUUAAAUUAUAAAUAUUAUUAUAUUAAUGUAUGAGCAAUAGAUUAUCUGAAUCUGCUCAAAUUUGAAUCUGUAUAAAUUUUGAAAUAAAUUACCUGAAUUUGUCUAAAUUUUCUUAUCAUAAACAAUUAUUCAAUAACAAUCGAACGAAUUUUUUCAUUAAUCGAAACCUAUGAUAUAUUUUGAAAAUGGAUAUAAAUUACAUUAAUUUAGUUAAUUAGUUACUUAAAUUUCUGUAAUACGUAAUUGGUCAUAAGGUGUCAAUCAUUAUGAAAAAUUAAACUUUUUGUUUAUAAAUACUACUUACUUGUUAAGAAUGAGUUUCACAAAUGCUAGAAUAUCUAUACAGAUCUAUAGAUAUACAGGAUGCGGUCGAAUAACAUGUACAAGCGGACGUGAGGUGAUUCCUUAUGAAAAAACAAGAAAAUGUAGAAUAAAAUUUUGACCGAGGCUUUGUUUUAGAAAAAAUCGUAUUUGAAAAUUUAUCAAGUGCACUUGAUCAUCAUUAAUUAUUGACUAGUUUCUGCUGAUGGAUAAACUACGCCUGGACAAUCUAUCAAGUAAAUACGUCGCAUCAAAGUAAUAUACUGCCAUACUUUUGUCUCUCCUGCUAUUGGUGCAACACUACAUACUUUCUUUGAUCUUAAGUUUUGCAAACUGGCGUAACAAAUUAAUCAAAGAACCUUUACCAAAUGGAUGCGUCAUAGAAGCAUGAAAGGCCACUGUUGGAUAUUCUGCACUUAAUAUUGCAACCCAUCUUUGUGUUACCCAAGUUGGGACAAGAUCUACUUUGUUUAAAAUAAACAUUAAAUGCUUA